rnacentral:tRNA from 4 species
GCGGAAGUAGCUCAGUUGGUAGAGCACGACCUUGCCAAGGUCGGGGUCGCGAGUUCGAGUCUCGUUUUCCGCUCCA